AACGAACGCUGGCGGCGCGCCUAAUACAUGCAAGUCGAGCGAGAAGACGUAGCAAUACGUUUGUAAAGCGGCGAACGGGUGAGGAAUACAUGGGUAACCUACCCUCGAGUGGGGAAUAACUAGCCGAAAGGUUAGCUAAUACCGCGUACGCUCCUUGGACUUCGGUUCAGGGAGGAAAGCGAUACCGUGGGUAUCGCGCUCUUGGAUGGGCUCAUGCCCUAUCAGCUUGUUGGUGAGGAACGGCUCACCAAGGCUUCGACGGGUAGCUGGUCUGAGAGGACGAUCAGCCACACUGGCACUGCGACACGGGCCAGACUCCUACGGGAGGCAGCAGUAGGGAAUAUUGGACAAUGGGCGCAAGCCUGAUCCAGCGAUGCCGCGUGUGUGAAGAAGGCCUGCGGGUUGUAAAGCACUUUCAGUAGGGAAGAAAGCCGAGUGCUAAUAUCACUCGGUCUUGACGUUACUUACAGAAGAAGCACCGGCUAACUCCGUGCCA
rnacentral:rRNA from 1 species